rnacentral:rRNA from 1 species
UGAAUACGAGAUGCUACGGCGUCGAAGCAGUCUAUGUCAUACUUCCAAGAAAAGCUUGCACUGUCAUAAACAAAUAAUGCCUGUACCAUAACCGACACAGGUGGGUAGGUAGAGUAUACUAAGGGGCGCGAGAUAACUCUCUCUAAGGAACUCGGCAAAAUGACUCCGUAACUUCGGGAGAAGGAGUGCCUUAUUUUAUAAGGUUGCAAUAACAAGAUCCAAGCAACUGUUUACCAAAAACACAGGUCUCCGCUAAGUCGUAAGACGAUGUAUGGGGGCUGACGCCUGCCCAGUGCCAGAAGGUUAAAGAAGUUGGUUAGCAUCCGCGAAGCUGAUAACUGAAGCCCUGGUGAACGGCGGCCGUAACUAUAACGGUCCUAAGGUAGCGAAAUUCCUUGUCGGGUAAGUUCCGACCCGCACGAAAGGCGUAAUGAUUUGGAUACUGUCUCAGAGAGGGGCUCGGUGAAAUAGACUUGUCUGUGAAGAUGCGGACUACCUGCACCAGGACAGAAAGACCCUAUGAAGCUUUACUGUAACUUGAAAUUGAAAUUGGACUUUACUUGCGCAGUAUAGGUGGGAGGCGUUGAGAAUAUUCUUGCGGGAAUGUUGGAGCCAUCAGUGAGAUACCACUCUUGUAAUGUUAGAUUUCUAACUUUGUAUCAUUAUCUGGUCAAAGGACAGUUUCAGGCGGGCAGUUUGACUGGGGCGGUCGCCUCCCAAACGGUAACGGAGGCGCACAAAGGUUUCCUCUGAACGGGUAGAAAUCGUAUCUAGAGUGUAAAGGCAUAAGGAAGCUUGACUGUGAGACCUACAAGUCGAGCAGGGACGAAAGUCGGUCUUAGUGAUCUGACGGCGCUGAGUGGAAAGGCCGUCACUCAACGGAUAAAAGUUACUCUAAGGAUAACAGGCUGAUCUCCCCCAAGAGUUCACAUCGACGGGGAGGUUUGGCACCUCGAUGUCGGCUCAUCGCAUCCUGGGGCGGUAGUACGUCCCAAGGGUUGGGCUGUUCGCCCAUGAAAGCGGUACGCGAGCUGGGUUCAGAACGUCGUGAGACAGUUCGGUCCAUAUCCGGUGUAGGCGUUAGAAUAUUGAGAGGAGCCUUCUUUAGUACGAGAGGACCGAGAAGGACAUACCUCUGGUGUACCAGUUAUCGUGCCAACGGUAAACGCUGGGUAGCUAUGUAUGGAGUGGAUAACCGCUGAAAGCAUCUAAGUGGGAAGCCCACCUCAAGAUAAGUAUUCCC